GUUGCACUAUUUCCUAGGCAUCGAAGUAAAAAGAUACAUGAUGGUAUUCUGCUAACCCAAGAAAAAUAUGCAACAAGGAUACUUAAACGUGUAGGGAUGAAGGAUUGUAAACCCUCCAGUACACCUCUGUCUACUACUGAACAGUUGUCAUUGCAUGAAGGAGAAUUGCUAAGUCCAGAGGAAGGAACAAAAUACAGAAGUGUAGUUGGGGCACUACAGUACUUAACAUUGACAAGACCUGAUAUAGCUUUUUCUGUUAAUAAGGUUUGUCAAUUUUUGCAUUCUCCUACAUCUCUGCAUUGGACAGCUGUUAAGAGGAUACUCAGAUAUAUCCAAGGAAGCGCUGGAACUGGUCUUAAAAUAUGUAAGUCACCUUCAACAACAGUGAGUGCCUUCUCUGAUGCAGAUUGGGCAGGAUGUCCUGAUGACAGGAGGUCUACCAGUGGAUUUGCUGUCUUCUUUGGCUCUAACCUUGUAUCUUGGAAUGCAAAGAAGCAAGCUACAGUUUCACGUUCCAGCACUGAAGCAGAAUACAAAUCACUA
rnacentral:rRNA from 1 species